CCUANGGGAGGCUGCAGUGGGGAAUAUUGGGCAAUGGAGGAAACUCUGACCCAGCGACGCCGCGUGCGGGAUGAAGGCCUUCGGGUUGUAAACCGCUUUCAGCAGGGAAGAAGCGAAAGUGACGGUACCUGCAGAAGAAGCACCGGCUAACUAUGUGCCAGCAGCCGCGGUAAUACAUAGGGUGCAAGCGUUGUCCGGAAUUAUUGGGCGUAAAGAGCUCGUAUGUGGUUCGUCACGUCGGAUGUGAAAAUCUGGGGCUUAACCCCAGACCUGCAUUCGAUACGGGCGAGCUAGAGUGUGGUAGGGGAGACUGGAAUUCCUGGUGUAGCGGUGGAAUGCGCAGAUAUCAGGAGGAACACCAAUGGCGAAGGCAGGUCUCUGGGCCAUUACUGACACUGAGGAGCGAAAGCGUGGGGAGCGAACAGGAUUAGAUACCCCGNUANUC
rnacentral:rRNA from 1 species